AACAGUAUAUAUUAUAACCACAAUUACAUCUGUAUUCGUUAAAAUUGUUAUUUUGGUAAAUGCAAUGCUGGAUGUUCCCGAGUGAGGACUGCACAAGGAAGCGGAAGUUCUGUUAAUGUUACUUGUGCUGCCAUUAUUAACGCUAUUUAUAUCGGCAAGUUUAACAAUGUCGAAUUGCGUGGGAGUAUAAAUGAUUUGAUAUUAUCAUACAGGAAUCUCAUGAUUUAUGUAUUUCAGCCGAAAAACAAGGCUAAUUUUAAAUCGACAGUUUUUAAACGGAGCGCACCAUUAGGGGCUGUUGGAGACUAGUCUACUCAUCCGUCCCCCAGGAGGCUCUGCUUCCAAGGCCCCCUUUGUUUCGUUUCGCCGGUGUAAGUCGUGCCUACCCCAACGGAUUCACAUAUGACGAGGAGAACCGACGGAAGGCUGAAGAAAUGACAGCUUGAGAGGGUAAUACAAAACUGGGAAACCCAUUCUGAGGAUAAUAAGACAAAAGAAAAGUUGUUUGAGGCGUUUGAAGUCGUGGGGGAAAUGUCGGACAAUCGGAUUUCUGGUGGACACUAAAACACCACCCACAGACGAUUCAGUGUUUUUGUUCCAUGCGGUGGAUUAAACGGAACUGGAAGCUACGUGCUAAAGCAGCAUUGGUCCGUCACUUUACUGACACCGCCUGAAGGAUCCACGGCACGCGGACUCUCCCUUUCUGAUCCCCGCCAGCAUCCAUAUUUGCAUCCCAGGGAGUGGCAGCCUGCUAAUUCUCCCGUCCUUGUAGGGAUUUUUGCACACCCUUUCGGACGCUUCAGCGAGUAAAACAUGAAGAGAGAAAGCUGCCUCCUCAUACUCCUACUUGCCUAGUGCCUGACCCACAAGCCUUCACUACUUCUCAGGUUGCUGGUCAUUUACCCUGAGACCUGAUGAUGAACACGCUCAAGUCCAGUGGGCUGAAAAUCCCUGGUCGUGCGCCCAAGCAUUCCAGUCCGAUGGGAAGGACAUCGACAGGCGGAACCUCCAGCUCCCCGGUCCCUCCUAAAGACAAUGUUCUAAACAAGCCCAGUACGCCACCCAAAGCCUCCGAGGAGGGUGACGAUGUUCUGGGGGACUAUACUGUGGGCGAGCAGGUCUGGGUGAACAGCGUCAAACCUGGAGUCAUUGCCUACCUCGGGGAAACUCAGUUCGCUCCGGGCCAGUGGGCUGGAGUCAUUCUCAACGACCUAGUUGGCAAAAAUGACGGUUCAGUUGGGGGCGUGCGCUACUUUGAGUGCCAAGCCCUCCAGGGCAUAUUCACGCGGCCCUCCAAGCUGGCCCGACAGCCAGUGGCGGAAGGGAGUGACGGCCACUCCACAGAGGCGCUCUCAGCGCACAACCUGCAAGGUGGCGGUGCCCCCUCUGGCCAGCGGGUUGUGGUGCCACUCAGAGAGAGCGUGCUCAACAGUGCGGCUAAGACUGGAAACGAGUCUGGCUCCAAUAUGUCUGACAGUGGUUCUGUGAAGAAAGGUGGCGAUAAAGACCUUCGGGUUGGAGAUCGAGUUUUGGUGGGAGGCUCCAAGAUGGGGGUCAUUCGUUACAUGGGGGAGACGGACUUUGCCAAAGGGGAAUGGUGUGGUGUGGAGCUGGAUGAGCCCUUGGGGAAGAAUGAUGGUGCUGUGGCUGGUACAAGAUAUUUCCAGUGUCUUCCCAAGUUCGGCCUGUUCGCGCCAAUCCACAAGGUGAUCCGCAUUGGCUUCCCGUCCACCAGCCCGGCCAAGGCCAAGAAGAGCAAAAGAAUGGCCAUGGGGGUGUCGUCUCUGGCCCACAGCCCCAGCAGCUCGUCCAUCAGCUCUGUCAGCUCGGUGGCCUCAUCUGUGGGCGGACGGCCGAGCAGGACUGGACUGUUGACAGAGACUUCGUCCCGCUAUGCCAGGAAGAUCUCAGGCACCACCGCCCUGCAGGAGGCUCUGAAGGAGAAGCAGCAGCACAUCGAGCAGCUGCUGGCUGAGCGAGACCUGGAGCGAGCGGAGAUGGCCAAGGCCACUAGUCACAUCUGCGAGGUGGAGAAGGAGAUGAGCACCCUCAAGUCGCAGCACAUGCAGUAUGUCACUGAGAACGAGAGCAACCUCCAGCAAAUCAAAGCCGUGUUGGCCAGCACGCAAACUGCAAAAGUGGAACUUGCCAAUCAGCUGGAAGAGGAGAAAAGGAAAGUGGAGGACCUUCAGUUCAGGGUGGAGGAGGAAUCCAUCACCAAAGGAGACCUGGAGGGAAGAUGCAGGCAUGAUGCAGAAUCCAUGAGCUUGGGUCGGAGAACCAAGCAAACCACGGUGGAGGAGCAGAGUCGCAUCAUGGAGCUGGAGCAGGAGCUCAGCCACACCAGAGCAGAGAUUAAGACCCUCCAGGUUCAGCUGCGACCCCAGCCGGAGGCAGCCCUCACACGCCUCCAGCUUGAUGGAGAGAACGGCGAGCUUAAAGAGAAGACGGCGCUAGCGGCGAGCCAGCAGCAGAUCGACGGGCUCAAGGCAGUGGUAGAGAAACAAAACCAGGAGAUUGGCGAGCUGAGACUGAAAGUGCAGCAAGCCACCAAGGAAAACGUGGACAUGAUGGACACCUGGAAGGCUAAAUUUGACUCUUUAGUGAGCGAACACCAGCAAUCCUUGGAGGAGCUGAAGGCUUCCUUCACUAGUGACCACGCAACGCCACCAGGCCAAGAAUUGGGUGUCCAAGAACUGAGGGCGACACUGGAGAGCUUGAAGAUGGAGCACCAACUGGAGGUGGAGAACCUCAAGGCCAAGUAUAAGAUAGAAGCUGCUAUCCUGACUAAAGAACACGAGGACCUCUGCACUCGGCUUCAAGAGGUUAAAGUUCAGCUGGCUGAGAACAAUCUCACAUCCCGGGCUGAUUUGGGUGCCACGGAGGGCAGCAAGCAGGCCCUGCAGGAAGCCAUUGGAAAGCUAGAGGAAGCAGAGAAGAAGCUGGCAGAGAUGGAGACUCUUCAGAGGAAGCAGGACAGAAGCACACAAGAGCUGAGAGAAAGACAGGAGCUGUCGGAAAAGAUGAUGUUGGACUACCAGGCCUUGAAGAACGCCCACUGCAAGAGCCAGAAGGAGAUCCAAAAGCUGGAGGAGAACCUGAGGGCGACAGCCAAUCAGCUGCAGGCCAUCCAGGCUGACCGCUACACCUCCCAUGAUGCAAAUAUGAUCGAAGCUAACCACCUUUCCGAUGAGAAGAUGAAGUUAAAACAGAAUAUUGAAGAAACCAUGGAGAAGUUGCUGAAAAGGGAGAAAGAAGUUUCCACUCUCACCUCACAGGUCGAAGCUCUCAAAUCACAAAUUGGAGCUCUGGAGAGCAAAGUCCAUAUGGGGGAAAGGAAAGCGGAAGCCCUGACCAGGGAGAAGGUGCGGAUGGAGGCGGAGUUGGAGUCCAUGACCAGAAAGUCCCAUGAUGCUUCAGGGCAGCUGCUUAGCAUUAGCCAGGAUCUACUGAAGAAAGAGAGGAGCCUGAAUGAGUUGAGGGUUUUGCUUCUCGAGUCGCGUCGCCACUCGCGAGAAAUGGACAAGGACCUGAACCGGGAGGUGCGCAAGGCGGAGUGGAAGGUGAAGGAGCAAAAACUGCAGGAUGACAUCAAGACACUGCGGGAAAAACUGCUGCUGUUGGGACGUGAGAGGUUCUCCCCCGACCAUCGCCGACACUCAAUGCUAGACCCCUCGGCUUUGGACUCGGAGGUCAGCCGCCUCCGGCAGCAGCUGCUGAGCACAGAAGAAGCCCUGAGAAAUGCUCUGGAGCACAACCAGCAAGUGGACCAGCUGGUGCAAGCCAUGGGAAAGCAUCCAGAGAAAAGCCCGAUUCACGGAGCCAAGUCAGCCAAUGGAAUCCAUCAUCAGGAGCCCAACAGCACUCAAGAUGAACAGCAACGCUGAUGCAAGUUGAGGAGGUUGCCAUCCAACUGGGACAUGCAGGAGGAGGAAAUUCUUACCAAAACUGCAAGUGGCAGAAAGCACCUGUUAGCAAGUCACAAGGACCAAUGAAAGUACUCUUAAUAUAAACGAGGACUUGUGGACUCUGAGAGAUAUUAUUAGCAUCAUCAUCAAUAUCAUAAUUAUUAUUAUUAUCAUUAUUAUUAUUAUUUAUGUUAUUAUUAGUAUUAUUAUCAACAUCUACUCAAGCCUGCAACUUUUUGGGUGUUCUACAAUCGAAGGAACAUCUUUUGAGUUGCAAGAGAGACAGUUCCAAAAACCGGAUGGACAAUGAUGACAAAAAUGACCACUGAGUCACUUUUUUUUUUUUUGAAGCUUUGAAGUUAUCAACGCAAGUCUUCUGAUGCCUUUUUAAGGGAACUGGGCUUGGCGGUCAAUCAUUGUCCCAAAUGGUGCAUAGUGCACAAAAUUGGUAAGUCAUGAAGGUUACCGAGUAUUAUUGGAGACAUUAAAGUAAUACUUGAAACUAAAUGUGUCCUUUGAGUAUUAAAGGUGCUGUCCCUCUACCGCUCCAAAUGACACUUUUUUCAAGCCAAAAAUAUAACACGAGCCACCAUAUGUCACCAAUAGUGGUUUAAAUGAACCAACAGUACAAAUAAAUGCCGAUAUUUAUCACAAUUCAAAGCUUUUCAUUCAACCGGAAUAAAAAUGAUGAGCGUACAUGUCUGUCUCGUAUACUUUGUAUAUGCACAAAACAGUCUCAGAGAAGCGACUGACAAUUUGGAGUCAUUGUGUGUUUAUGAUAGGAUAUACAUUCAAUGAAAGCUAACAUUAGCAUCUAAACAUUGCCACAUUUCCAUCUGUAACUGACAACAAACAUGACUGAUGCACAUGCUGUGUUGCGUGUGGCGUGGCUUGCAACUUUGGAACAGGAAAAGAAUGGCAUAUCGUCAUCCAACCCCCCCAAACCCCCCCCCAAAUCCCCUAUGUUGUACCUAACCGAGGCUGACAGCACCUUUUACAAAUGGUAAACUUCUACUUACCUGAGUGUUGCUGAGCAGGGGGACCACGAGCCACUAUCUGGGGACCCUUACUGGCAAGAGGAUACAUCCCCAGGAAGAGGAAGAGCCAACCAAGGUGAACUAGAGUCACUACAGACACUCGCUGAAACUCGCCCAGGAACCAGGAACCAUGAACCAUACCCGCAAGAGGGAACAAAGAGGACUACUGGCCUGCCCCCACAGUCUUUAAUCCGUCACAGGGACCCGCCGCAGAGUUUGGUCACUGCACCCACGGGUUAUUCUUAAUACUAUGAACUGCAAAAGAAGACCAGCCACUUCUAAUGAACCACAGUCCGUCACCUAGCACAGGGACUUGCUGCAAGUCUUGGACACCACCCCCACAAGAGGGUUGUUACUAUAUGCUGACAGCCUGAAUGCCAUAGAGGGAGAGACCAGAGAGGGCCUAAUCUAACACAAGUGCCAACCACUGACAAACUCCCAACAUCAGGAAAAUCUCACUUGCCACAGAGACCCGCUGCAGGUCCUGGCCACCACACCCACAUGAAGCAACCAUAGAACAGCAGCCCAGAGACCUAGGGUGAUAGGCCAACCCACAAGGAGGGGUUGCCAUGAGCCUAACGUCAGGGCGAACCAAAGACUUCCAACUGUCACGGGUCUAUUAAAGGACCUGGGCACUACGCCUGCUAAGUAGGUUACAAGAACAAAGGACAACCAACCAGAGAGGUCCAGGACCCAAGAACAACGUAAUUUAUUGUAUAUGAUUAGGUACAGUGUAUUGGCUCCAGAGUUUAGUUCAAGUGUAUACUGUAUACUGUAUCUGUAAUAUAUACUUAAUAAUGCUAAAUAUAUACUUAAUAUCAGAUAAAUCAUCUCCAGAUAUUUAGGACAAAUGAUUCAUUGUCACAUUAUGAGGAUUACAUGUUGCAUAUUUGAUCACAUUUCUGACACCGCCCAGGUAUGUUGGUUUUGGCAAAUGUCAGGACUGACCCAUAUGCACUGGUUUGGUUGCCAAACAAACUAGCUAUUGUAAUGCUUAAGACGUUCAGAAAAUGGACUCACUUGACCCGGAUGAUGAGCUAUUUAUUUUCUCUACUUCAAUUGAGUCAAUUUUCUUAAACUAUUCUAUAUGUAAUUGGGUUUUAUUCCAAUGUUGAGGAUUUCAACCCUUUAUAUGCCCAUACAGAUAAAUGCACUGUAUUUUGUAGUUUAAGUGACAACUAUUUUUAUGCCUGUUUGGGGAAGAAAGUAGCACCAUCUUGUGGACAAGCAUUGAUUGAAAGUCCAUCAAUCCAUCUAGUUUCUUCCGCUUAUGUGGGUCAUGCAGGUAGCAGACUCAGUGGGCAAGUCCAGACUUCCCAGUGUCUAGCCACCCCUUCCAGUUCCACUGGGGUUCCCAAGGCAUUCCCAGGCCAACUGUGAGAAAUAAAUGCUCCAACGUGUCCGAGGUGAGCCCAGGGGCCUCCUCCCGUCUGGGCGUACACAGAACACCCUACAGGGAGGUGUCCAAGAGGCAUCUGGCCAGAGCCACCUCAAGUGGCUCCUCUGCAUGUGAAGGUUCAGCAGCUCUACUCUUUUCUCCUUCUGGAAGACCAACCUUGUCACCCUACCGCUUCGAGUGAGUCCAGCCACCCUAUGGAGGAAACUGAUUUAGGCCGCAUGUAUUCAAGAUCUUGCUCUUUAGGUCAAUACUGCACACAAUGUGCUCAUCCUCCUGCCGAUCUCAGCCUCCAGCCUUCCCUCACUCAUGAUCAAGAUACCUCCACCUGGGGCAAAAUCUCACUCCUAACUCAAAGUGUGUAGUCCAAUCAUUUCUGACAGAGAACCAUGGCUUCAGAUUUGAAGGUGCUGAGUCUCAUCUCAGCUGUGAACAGCCUCAAAAUGUUGAAGGUCACAGUCAUGAUGAAGCCAUCAGGACAUCAUCAUCUAAAUAUGGAAGAGAUGCGAUACUAAGGCUGUCAAACUGGACCCCCUCACUGCCUUAGCUGCACCUACAAAUUAGACUAAAUCAGGGACAGAGUGGCACACACCCCAAAUUGAAAGCCAGUAGUCCAAAUUGUAAACUUAACAAGGGAUUAAAUAAGCGUAGGUACAGACAAAUGUGAGACAUUUUUCUAAAUCUGAAAUUUUUGGUCUCAAGGGACUAAUGUACACACUUGGUCUGUCUCCAUGCAUGACCAAUUUUUUAUA